UACGUAGGGUGCAAGCGUUGUCCGGAAUUAUUGGGCGUAAAGAGCUCGUAGGCGGUUUGUCGCGUCGGCUGUGAAAACCUGGGGCUCAACCCCGGGCCUGCAGCCGAUACGGGCAAACGUAGAAUUCGGUAGGGGAGACUGGAAUUCCUGGUGUAGCGGUGGAAAUGACGCAGAUAUCAGGAGGAACACCGGUGGCGAAGGCGGGUCUCUGGGCCGAUAUUGACGCUGAGGAGCGAAAGCGUGGGGAGCAAACAGG
rnacentral:rRNA from 1 species